UACGGGGGGGCAAGCGUUGUUCGGAAUUACUGGCGUAAAGGGUUCGUAGGUGGCUUGUUAAGUCAGACGUGAAAUCCCUCGGCUCAACCGGGAACUGCGUCUGAGACUGAUGAGCUCGAGUGCAGGAGAGGAACGCGGAAUUCCGAGGUGUAGCGGUGAAAUGCGUAGAUAUCUGGAGGAACACCGGUGGCGAAGGCGGCGUUCUGGACUGCAACUGACACUGAGGAACGAAAGCCAGGGAGCAAACGGG
rnacentral:rRNA from 1 species